UUUCCGUAGGUGAACCUGCGGAAGGAUCAUUAAUGAGUUUGAAUGAAGCUGGUUCUGGUCUUUCGGGGCAAGUGAACGCGUUUCUCAAUCCAUCUUACCCCUGUGCACCUUUGGGAGAUGACUUUGGACUCAAGUUGGAUAACGACAGUGAUCCUUAGUCUCUUCUUUUAUACCAAACAACAGUCUUAGAACGUCUUAUUUGCUUGAUGCAAAACAAAUACAACUUUCAGCAACGGAUCUCUUGGCUCUC
rnacentral:misc_RNA from 1 species